rnacentral:rRNA from 1 species
AUUGAACGCUGGCGGCAUGCUUUACACAUGCAAGUCGAACGGCAGCGCGGGCUUCGGCCUGGCGGCGAGUGGCGAACGGGUGAGUAAUGCAUCGGAACGCGCCCAGUAGUGGGGGAUAGCCCGGCGAAAGCCGGAUUAAUACCGCAUACGACCUGAGGGUGAAAGCGGGGGACCGAAAGGCCUCGCGCUAUUGGAGCGGCCGAUGUCGGAUUAGCUAGUUGGUGGGGUAAAGGCUUACCAAGGCGACGAUCCGUAGUUGGUCUGAGAGGACGACCAGCCACACUGGGACUGAGACACGGCCCAGACUCCUACGGGAGGCAGCAGUGGGGAAUUUUGGACAAUGGGGGCAACCCUGAUCCAGCCAUGCCGCGUGCGGGAAGAAGGCCUUCGGGUUGUAAACCGCUUUUGUUCGGGAAGAAAUCCUCUGGGCUAAUACCCCGGGGGGAUGACGGUACCGGAAGAAUAAGCACCGGCUAACUACGUG